ACAUUGCAACACUGAACUGUGUCAUACACAGUAUUUUGACCACAGAAAGCGCUUUUUCAAAAAUGGAGUUUGGGAGAAAAAAUCCAAACGGGCUACGUCAGAUAACGUACAGAUCCUGCUGCUGUCCAGUCAUGAACCCGCUGUGAGUGAUGACCCGUCAAUGUGUAAAGACCCGGACGAUAACUUUACUGGAAUUGGAGAGAUUGGUGAAAGUGAAAUGCACUCCGCGGACCAAGAAAAGGAAGUGAUUGAAGAAUUUGAAGAAAUGCACCCAGCGAAUAUCAGUUCAGACAACGACGAAACAGCAGAUGAACAAAGCAUUCAUCUUUUCCUGGACAUCUCCUGUUGUGUGGAUGACUAUGUGGAUGAAGAGGGGUAAAUCCUUGCUGAGGAGCAGAGUGAAGCCUAUCCUCACAUACAAGAUGGGGAGGAGCAUACAAGUGAAAAACCAGAACACUUGUUGAUGAAACUUUUGGCCAUGAUGAAAUUGACUGGUAUACUCCGUGACGACUUCUUACAGUAUGUGGUUUGUCCAAAAUGUAUGACAGUGUACAUGCUUACUGAAACCUAUGAGCUCAGACGGGAUGGUACAAAGGUUUGCAGGACUUGUGGUCACAUCCCAUUCUACAAUCACCCACAGCAGAGGUCUGCAUUAAGGAAGAAAUGUGGCUCUGCCUUGCUAAGAAAAGCUACAUAUUCGAGCGGUGAAGAGUAUGUCCAUCCAAUACGUUCUUACUGUUACAAGAGUGUUGUGCAGUCUCUGGGAGGACUUGUUAAAAGACCUGGAUUUGAAGAGAAAUUAGAAGAAAGGCGAAAGCGGGAAAUGCCAAAGGGUGUGUUAGGAGAUGUAUAUGAUGGACAAGUAUGGCAGGAUUACCAGUAUGUGAAUUCAAUAAACUGUAGUCAUGCCACUAUGUGAUGUAAUUGCACAAGUUUCCUUGCUUCAUCCCCAUCUGGACAGACAUUUUGUUGUUUUGACAUGUUGUUUGAUGUUGUUUGCAUAGAAUGUACAAUUUGAGCCUGAUUAAAACUAUUAAAAUUGUUGAAAUAAA